AUUGAACGCUGGCGGCAGGCCUAACACAUGCAAGUCGAGCGAGCGGCGGACGGGUGUGUAAUAUCUGGGAAACUGCCUGAUGGAGGGGGGUAACUACUGGAAACGGUAGCUCAUACCGCAUACCCUCUGAUGUGUCCCCAUGGGGUUAGCUAGUGGGUGGGGUAACGGCUCACCGAGGCGACGAUCCCUAGCUGGUCUGAGAGGAUGACCAGCCACACUGGAACUGAGACACGGUCCAGACUCCUACGGGAGGCAGCAGUGGGGAAUAUUGCACAAUGGGCGCAAGCCUGAUACAGCCAUGCCGCGUGUGUGAAGAAGGCCUUCGGGUUGUAAAGCACUUUCAGCGGGGAGGCGUUACCCGCAGAAGAAGCACCGGCUAACUCCGUGCCAGCAGCCGCGGUAAUAC
rnacentral:rRNA from 1 species